rnacentral:rRNA from 1 species
AGCGAACGCUGGCGGCAGGCCUAACACAUGCAAGUCGAACGAACCUUUCGGGGUUUGUGGCGGACGGGUGAGUAACACGUGGGAACGUGCCUUUAGGUUCGGAAUAACUCAGGGAAACUUGUGCUAAUACCGAAUGUGCCCUUCGGGGGAAAGAUUAAUCGCCUUUAGAGCGGCCCGCGUCUGAUUAGCUAGUUGGUUGAGGUAAUGGCUCACCAAGGCGACGAUCAGUAGCUGGUCUGAGAGGAUGAUCAGCCACAUUGGGACUGAGACACGGCCCAAACUCCUACGGGAGGCAGCAGUGGGGAAUCUUGCGCAAUGGGCGAAAGCCUGACGCAGCCAUGCCGCGUGAAUGAUGAAGGUCUUAGGAUUGUAAAAUUCUUUCACCGGGGACGAUAAUGACGGUACCCGGAGAAGAAGCCCCGGCUAACUUCGUG